GACGAACGCUGGCGGCGUGCUUAACACAUGCAAGUCGAACGGAAAGGCCCUGCUUUUGUGGGGUGCUCGAGUGGCGAACGGGUGAGUAGCACGUGAGUAACCUGCCCUUGACUUUGGGAUAACUUCAGGAAACUGGGGCUAAUACCGGAUAGGAGCUCCUGCUGCAUGGUGGGGGUUGGAAAGUUUCGGCGGUUGGGGAUGGACUCGCGGCUUAUCAGCUUGUUGGUGGGGUAGUGGCUUACCAAGGCUUUGACGGGUAGCCGGCCUGAGAGGGUGACCGGCCACAUUGGGACUGAGAUACGGCCCAGACUCCUACGGGAGGCAGCAGUGGGGAAUAUUGCACAAUGGGCGGAAGCCUGAUGCAGCAACGCCGCGUGCGGGAUGACGGCCUUCGGGUUGUAAACCGCUUUCGCCUGUGACGAAGCGUGAGUGACGGUAAUGUGUAAAGAAGCACCGGCUAACUACGUG
rnacentral:rRNA from 1 species